rnacentral:rRNA from 1 species
GACGAACGCUGGCGGCGUGCCUAAUACAUGCAAGUCGAGCGAUGAAGCUUGGUGCUUGCACCAAUUUGAAGAGCAGCGAACGGGUGAGUAACGCGUGGGGAAUCUGCCUUUGAGCGGGGGACAACAUCUGGAAACGAAUGCUAAUACCGCAUAACAACUUUAAACAUAAGUUUUAAGAUUGAAAGAUGCAAUUGCAUCACUCAAAGAUGAUCCCGCGUUGUAUUAGCUAGUUGGGUAGGGAAAGGCCCACCCAGGCGAAGAUACAUAGGCGAACUGAGAAGGUGAUCGGCCACCUUGGGACUGGGACAAGGCCCAAGACCCUUCCGGAGGGAGCAGGAGGGGAUCUUUGGCAAUGGACGGAAGUCCGAACGAGGAACGCCGGGGGGGGGAAGGAGGUUCUCCGAUCGGAAAACUCCUUUGGUAGAGAGGGAAGAUGGUGAGAGUGGAAAGCUCAUCAAGUGACGGUAACUACUCAGAAAGCGGCGGCUAACUACGUG